rnacentral:snRNA from 11 species
GCGCUCGCUUCGGCAACACAUAUACUAAAAUUGGAAUGAUACAGAGAAGAUUAGCAUGGCCCCUGUGC